GGCUCGAAAAGGCAAACCCGCUGAAAAACGGGGACGCAAAGCUAUGGGUCUAAAGCUGGGAAUGGUGCAUAACUAUUCCAACAGCUAUGACCGCCAGGCUGCCGAA
rnacentral:ncRNA from 1 species